rnacentral:rRNA from 1 species
GGUAGACCACGCCGUAAACGAUGUCGACUUGGAGGUUGUGCCCUUGAGGCGUGGCUUCCGGAGCUAACGCGUUAAGUCGACCGCCUGGGGAGUACGGCCGCAAGGUUAAAACUCAAAUGAAUUGACGGGGGCCCGCACGAGCGGUGGAGCAUGUGGUUUAAUUCGAUGCAACGCGAAGAACCUUACCUACUCUUGACAUCCAGAGAACUUAGCAGAGAUGCUUUGGUGCCUUCGGGAACUCUGAGACAGGUGCUGCAUGGCUGUCGUCAGCUCGUGUUGUGAAAUGUUGGGUUAAGUCCCGCAACGAGCGCAACCCUUAUCCUUUGUUGCCAGCGGUUCGGCCGGGAACUCAAAGGAGACUGCCAGUGAUAAACUGGAGGAAGGUGGGGAUGACGUCAAGUCAUCAUGGCCCUUACGAGUAGGGCUACACACGUGCUACAAUGGCGCAUACAAAGAGAAGCGACCUCGCGAGAGCAAGCGGACCUCAUAAAGUGCGUCGUAGUCCGGAUUGGAGUCUGCAACUCGACUCCAUGAAGUCGGAAUCGCUAGUAAUCGUAGAUCAGAAUGCUGCGGUGAAUACGUUCCCGGGCCUUGUACACACCGCCCGUCACACCAUGGGAGUGGGUUGCAGAAGAAGUAGGUAGCUUAACCUUCGGGAGGGCGCUUACCACUUUGUGAUUCAUGACUGGGGUGAAGUCGUAACAAGGUAACCGUAGGGGAACCUGC